GGAAUCCCUAGUAACUCGGAGUGAAGCGGAAGAGCUCAAAUUUUGAAUCUGCGGUCUUCGGCCGUCCGAGUUGUAACUAGAGAAGCGUUUUCCGCGCUGGACCGUGUACAGUCUCCUGGAAGGAGCGUCGUAGAGGGUGAGAAUCCCGUCUUUGACACGGACUACCAGUGCAUUGAUCGCUCUCGACGAGUCGAGUUGUUUGGGAUGCAGCUCAAAUUGGGUGGUAAAUUCCAUCUAAAGCUAAAUACAGGCGAGAGACCGAUAGCGAACAGUACCGUGAGGGAAAGAUGAAAAGAACUUUGGAAAGAGAGUUAAACAGUACGUGAAAUUGCUGAAAGGGAAACGCUUGAUGUCAGUCGCGUCGGCCGGGGAUCAACCUUGCUUUUCGCUGGGUGUAUUUCCUGGUCGACGGGUCAGCAUCAGUUUCGGUCGUUGCAGAAGGGCGGAGGGAACGUGGCACUCUUCGGGGUGUGUUAUAGCCUUUCGUGUAUGCGAUGGUCGGGACUGAGGAACUCAGACGCGUCUGCUUGUGCUCAGGAUGCUG
rnacentral:rRNA from 1 species